rnacentral:lncRNA from 1 species
UUUGACAUAGCGAUAAACACCUCAUUAGUCACCCGGUCAGGUAUGCCCUAAAAAAAAGAAAGGGGCAAUUUAUUUUCAAGUACCAGGCGAAGUCUAUACUCCUUAAUUGGUAGCACAUAGCAUCAGUAUGAUAAACUGAACCAAUAAACAAUAUUAACUCAACUCAAAAAAUCCGUACAUACUACAAGAAAUCAAGUAUUUACUUUUUUACUUCUUAAAGAAAAAGUGAUUGCAGUAUCCAAGCCUUUGUAAGGAACAGCUUGCACAUGGUUUGUAUGACUCAAAUUUUCAUAAAUUUUUUAAGGAACUGGUUGAGGGGGAAUUCCAACCUUCAAUCAUAUCCUCUUUUAAGAAUCAAAAUUUUGCACUGUCUUUCCUCCUUUUCCUGUUAAAUUUUUCUCAGUUGAUAGAAGCUCAUAGAAAAUGCUCCAGGAUGUUUUUGUUCAUUUUGUCAGCUCCUCCACAGAUACUGGGGAAAGAAAAAGAAGCAACACAAGCCCUAACCAAGAAUAUCUGGAACCUCCGUCAAUGCAAGUUCACGAGCUAUUACGACAAAUUAGAAAUUGCAAAAUAUGCAAAAGUGAAGCAUGUAUUACUAAAUUUGCUAAGGUAAGACAGUCCUACAUCGGGAAAAUGGAAAAAAGAGACAUGAAUAUAUAUACAGGUCCAGGCGAUCCCCCAUCUUGAUGCUCAAGUCUAGUACCAACAAGUUAGGUCAUAAACCCAUGGAUGUGAGCCUAACCACCAUGCGGAAAGGUCAAUGGCCAACACUUAGCACGGAUAGACAGCCAAGGAACAAGAUAACUAUAUCUCGAAGUGCUGAGGAACAGCCCCAGUGCAAAGCAUUUCUCUCAACCCAAGACGACCCAACCAAAUAUUUAAAAUGUUUUGCAAGCUAUAUUUUAACAAAAUCAUAGAUAGUUGGUUUCAUUAUUUUGGUUCCACUAUAUUGAGACAUAACAUUGACUGUUUAGAUGAUUUAAGUUUUGUCGUCGAUAGUUUAAUUGACUUGUAAAUAUAUUGUAAAUAGGUUGCACCCCCUUGGCACCCUUACAUCAAUACAAUCCAUACUUUUAUUUCAAAAAAAAAAUAUUUUCCAAGCUAUACAUAUUGUCUUUGUACUUAGAUAGAUAGAAUAAUCAAAUGNNN